rnacentral:rRNA from 1 species
AUUGAACGCUGGCGGCAGGCUUAACACAUGCAAGUCGAACGGAGUGGCGGACGGGUGAGUAAUGCCUAGGAAUCUGCCUGGUAGUGGGGGAUAACGUCCGGAAACGGGCGCUAAUACCGCAUACUAUCAGAUGAGCCUAGGUCGGAUUAGCUAGUUGGUGGGGUAAAGGCCUACCAAGGCGACGAUCCGUAACUGGUCUGAGAGGAUGAUCAGUCACACUGGAACUGAGACACGGCCCAGACUCCUACGGGAGGCAGCAGUGGGGAAUAUUGCGCAAUGGGGGCAACCCUGACGCAGCCAUGCCGCGUGAAUGAAGAAGGCCUUCGGGUUGUAAAGUUCUUUCGGUAGCGAGGCGUUAACUACAGAAGAAGCACCGGCUAACUCCGUGCCAGCAGCCGCGGUAAUAC